rnacentral:tRNA from 1 species
GAAAAGUUAGUUAAAAUAAUAACUUAAUUUUGUCAAAAUUAUAUUACUAAUUUUAUUAUUUAGUACUUUUCU